UACGGGGGGGCAAGCGUUGUUCGGAAUUACUGGGCGUAAAGGGCCAGUAGGCGGCCAACUAAGUCGGAUGUGAAAUCCCCAGGCUUAACCUGGGAACUGCAUCCGAUACUGGAUGGCUUGAAUUCGGGAGAGGGAUGCAGAAUUCCAGGUGUAGCGGUGAAAUGCGUAGAUAUCUGGAGGAACACCGGUGGCGAAGGCGGCAUCCUGGACCGGCAUUGACGCUGAGGCGCGAAAGCCAGGGGAGCAAACGGG
rnacentral:rRNA from 1 species